rnacentral:rRNA from 1 species
UACAGAGGGUGCGAGCGUUAAUCGGAAUUACUGGGCGUAAAGCGUGCGCAGGCGGCUCCUUAAGUCAGAUGUGAAAGCCCCGGGCUUAACCUGGGAACUGCGUUUGAAACUGGGGAGCUGGAGUGUAGAAGAGGGGGGUGGAAUUCCUGGUGUAGCGGUGAAAUGCGCAGAUAUCAGGAGGAACACCUAUGGCGAAGGCAGCUCGCUGGGACGCAACUGACGCUGAGACGCGAAAGCGUGGGGAGCAAACAGG